AUUGAACGCUGGCGGAAUGCUUUACACAUGCAAGUCGAGCGGCAGCGCGGGGCAACCUGGCGGCGAGCGGCGAACGGGUGAGUAACAUAUCGGAACGUACCCAGUCGUGGGGGAUAACUAUCCGAAAGGAUAGCUAAUACCGCAUACGACCUGAGGGUGAAAGCGGGGGACCGAAAGGCCUCGCGCGAUUGGAGCGGCCGAUAUCGGAUUAGCUAGUUGGUGAGGUAAAGGCUCACCAAGGCGACGAUCCGUAGCUGGUCUGAGAGGACGACCAGCCACACUGGAACUGAGACACGGUCCAGACUCCUACGGGAGGCAGCAGUGGGGAAUUUUGGACAAUGGGGGCAACCCUGAUCCAGCCAUUCCGCGUGAGUGAAGAAGGCCUUCGGUUGUAAAGCUCUUUCGGUCAGGAACGAAACGGUAGGUCCCUAACUACGGGCUACUAAUGACGGUACCUGAAGAAGAAGCACCGGCUAACUACGUGCCAGCAGCCGCCGGUAAUCACGAGAGUA
rnacentral:rRNA from 1 species